UCUUAGGAGUUCGUUACUACCAACGAUCAUAUAUUUAAAAUCAUGUAAUUCAAUAUAUUCAUUAACAACUUCUCUAUUACUCAAAAACAUACUUAAAGACAAUAUUAUUACAAUAGCAGCACUUAAAAGAACAAUAAAGUAAAAGCAUCUCCGAUUGGUUUUUAAUUAGUUAGCUCAGUUUUCUAGCAUGCUAAUCAUCCUAUUGACUUGAAUGCACUAUCAGCUAACGGUGCUAAUCACUCGCUAGCAGAAUGCUAGCGAAGUAUUUUAACUCACCGGAGUUCGAGGUUCAAACAACACAGGUCUUCAACAAUCAGUAGAGUAUAAGGAAAGAAGCUUGAGGAAAAAGUCAUCACUUUCAUGAAGAAUGAACUGAAGAGACUCAAGAAGCUCCUGAGUCAUGAUUACCCAGAAUCCCCUUGCAAUGAGGAGGAGGAGGAUGAGGAGGACCAGAGAGAUGCUAGAGAUGGAGCUCUGAAGAUUGCAGUGCACAUCCUGAGGAACAUGAGUCAGGAGAUCCUCGCUCAGCAACUGGAGAAGUACAAACAAUGAAAACUUCAAUGACCUAUACAAGACUGCAGUAAAUCUGGCAUUAAACAGUGAGCAUGGACACUUGGACCUUUUACUGAGGUUUCUUCUGGGCCUCUCACUGGAGUCCAAUCAGAAACACUUAAAAGACCUGCAGCCACAGUCAGGAAGCAGCUCAUUGCACACAGGGCAAACAGUCAAGUACAUCAAGGAGAAGAUCAGAGAAACCACCACCCCAGAGAUGCAUCAACCUGUUCCACUGUCUGAAUGACCACACUCUGGUGGAGGGGGUCCAGGGCUAACCUGACCCUAACCAGAUGAAUUUCGCUCCGUCUAGCUCCACUCAUCCAUCUGGAACCGAUCCAUUGAAGUGUUGCUUCAGAAGGCUGG